UUACGUAAUUUGUGAAUGAUCCCUAAACGCCAAAAGUGAGUAUUUUCCGCAUGAAAAUACAAUCCUAAAAUAUUUUUAGGCAAGUUUGAACAGUGCUUGUUGUGGAGACCAUAUUAGUUUUUUAUACAAAUAGUGCACAUGGGUAAACAAAUACAAUUAUAUUUCCGGUAGCCAUGAAUCCCAAAACGUGGAGAAUAGCUCAAUAUUUAGAUUCAUCGGAAUUCGAUGAGUAUAAAACAAAUAUUUUCGAUGAGCCCAGGAAAACUGGAAAGGGUACCGAAAUUUGGAGGAGCCAAUGGAUCAUUUUCUUCAGGAGGGGGAGCUGAACCCUUUUCUUCACAUGGACCAUGAGAUGCUACAUAAAUUUCUGAAAUAAUUAUAAGUAUACGUUAUUAUGAUAUUUCUAAACAAUAUCCGUUUUAUUAAAUAAAUUCAUUGAACCUUUUGAAGGUUUGUGAAAAAAUUGUUUAUUCUAAUCGAAAUAGUUCU